rnacentral:rRNA from 1 species
AGGCAGACGGCUCAGUAACACGUAGUCAACCUACCCUAUGGACAAGAAUAAUCUCGGGAAACUGGGCAUAAUUCUUGAUAGAUCAUAAUGCCUGGAAUGGUUUAUGGUUAAAAUGAUUCGUCGCCAUAGGAUGGGACUGCGGCCUAUCAGCUUGUUGGUGAGGUAAUGGCCCACCAAGGCGAUUACAGGUACGGGCUCUGAGAGGAGAAGCCCGGAGAUGGGUACUGAGACACGGACCCAGGCCCUAUGGGGCGCAGCAGGCGAGAAAACUUUGCAAUGUGCGAAAGCACGACAAGGUUAAUCCGAGUGAUUUCUGCUAAAGAAAUCUUUUGCCAGUCAUAAAACCACUGGUGAAUAAGGGGCGGGCAAGUUCUGGUGUCAGCCGCCGCGGUAAAACCAGCACCUCAAGUGGUCAGGAUGAUUAUUGGGCCUAAAGCAUCCGUAGCCGGCUUGGUUAGUUUUCGGUUAAAUCCAUGUGCUCAACGCAUGGGCUGCCGAAAAUACUGCAUAGCUAGGGAGUGGGAGAGGUAGACGGUACUCAGUAGGAAGGGGUAAAAUCCUUUGAUCUAUUGAUGACCACCUGUGGCGAAGGCGGUCUACCA